GGGGAGGCUAGGGAUAACAAGCCAGUAAUUAGUAUUAGGCUUUUUUCGCCGAGGGAUCGGGUUAAGGGUAGGCUAAGAAAGUUGCAUGAAAAUUAAUUAAUCAAGCUAAUAAUUCAAGAGGAGUAAAUAAGAGAGAGCGGAUAAGAUGAAAUUGUAAACCCCCAACAACUCCAUUCAUCCAUUGUUUUCUUCUUGUCAUUUGAAUCAAUAUUUUCUUUUGCAUGUUCAU
rnacentral:lncRNA from 1 species